rnacentral:rRNA from 1 species
UACGGAGGAUGCGAGUGUUAUCCGGAAUCACUGGGCGUAAAGCGUCUGUAGGUUGUUUGCUAAGUCUGCUGUUAAAGCUUGAAGCUCAACUUCAAAAAUGCAGCGGAAACUAGUAGACUUGAGUGUGGUAGGGGUAGAGGGAAUUUCCAGUGAAGUGGUGAAAUGCGUAAGAUAUUGGGAAAAGACCACCAAUGGCGAAGGCACUCUACUGGGCCAUUACUGACACUGGAGAGACGAAAGCUAGGGGAGCAAAUGGG